rnacentral:lncRNA from 1 species
GGUCAGGAUCACAUGAAGGCAGAGUUGCCCGCAGCUAUGGUGUCUCCGUCACCCGGGUGCCCCAGCCUGGGCCCCUCCUUGCUGCAGUUGCUUAGCGCCUGCUGUGUGCAGGGCUCUGAACUUGGCACUGAGACACACUGCCCACCCUUGUGAGGCCUCCUCUCCGCCGGGGAGGAGAGGUGCAGUGAUGAGGUGGCUGCGUGCGGAGGUACUUCUUCAAUAAAGAAGGGGAUUUUAACAACCUGACAGCUGCAGCAUUUCAUAAGAAGUCUCACCUCUUGGUCACUGGCUUUGCUUCUGGAAUCUUCCAUCUUCAUGAGCUGCCAGAGUUUAACCUCAUCCACUCCCUGAGCAUUUCAGAUCAGAGCAUCGCCUCAGUGGCCAUCAAUAGCUCGGGGGACUGGAUUGCUUUUGGCUGUUCAG